AGCAGAAAUAGCGUAUAGCGUAAAUAAUUAUCUAAAAAUACGAAACAGAAAUACAAUUGCAUGCAAUAAUAUCAUACAGUAACUACCAUAACUAACAGUCAUAGAAGGGGACAUAAGCUAAAACACAAAUCAUCUAUGGGUAACUCUGCUGACCCACACCCAACCCUGGAAGAGGCGUAUGAAAAACUCUAUGAGCCCUAUCAUACACCCCUGAUUCU
rnacentral:lncRNA from 1 species